GGUAGGAGGAGACUUCAAAAUCACCCUGGCCACGUGGGGCUUUUUAAACAGAGCAAUUACUUGAGCUUGAGAGUUCUGGGCUGCAGUGUGCUAUGCCAGUUGGGUGUCUGCAUCAAUAUGGGGACCCCCCCCCCCCACCGCCACCAAAAGCAGGGGACCAUCAGGUUGCCUAAGGAGGAGUGAACUGGCCCAGGUCAGAAAUGGAGCAGGUCAAAACUCCUGCACGGAUCAGUAGUGCGAUUGCACCUGUGACUAGCCACUGCAUGCCAGCCUGGGCAACAUAGUGAGACCCUGUCUCA
rnacentral:SRP_RNA from 1 species